rnacentral:rRNA from 1 species
GACGUAGGGCGCGAGCGUUGUCCGGAUUUAUUGGGCGUAAAGAGCUCGUAGGCGGUUUGUCGCGUCGUUCGUGAAAACUCACAGCUCAACUGUGAGCUUGCGGUCGAUACGGGCAGGCUAGAGUUCGGUAGGGGAGACUGGAAUUCCUGGUGUAGCGGUGAAAUGCGCAGAUAUCAGGAGGAACACCGGUGGCGAAGGCGGGUCUCUGGGCCGAUACUGACGCUGAGGAGCGAAAGCGUGGGGAGCAAACAGG